GAUGAACGCUGGCGGCGUGCCUAAUACAUGCAAGUCGAGCGAACAGACGAGGAGCUUGCUCCUCUGACGUUAGCGGCGGACGGGUGAGUAACACGUGGAUCACCUACCUAUAAUACUGGGGUAACUUCGGGAAACCGGUGCUAAUACCGGAUAAUAUAUUGAACCGCAUGGUUCAAUAGUGAAAGACGGUUUUGCUGUCACUUAUAGAUGGAUCCGCGCCGCAUUAGCUAGUUGGUAAGGUAACGGCUUACCAAGGCAACGAUGCGUAGCCGACCUGAGAGGAUGAUCGGCCACACUGGAACUGAGACACGGUCCAGACUCCUACGGGAGGCAGCAGUAGGGAAUCUUCCGCAAUGGGCGAAAGCCUGACGGAGCAACGCCGCGUGAGUGAUGAAGGUCUUCGGAUCGUAAAACUCUGUUAUUAGGGAAGAACAAAUGUGUAAGUAACUAUGCACGUCUUGACGGUACCUAAUCAGAAAGCCACGGCUAACUACGUG
rnacentral:rRNA from 1 species